rnacentral:rRNA from 1 species
ACGCUCGACACCUGGCAGCAGUGGGGAAUAUUGCACAAUGGGGGAAACCCUGAUGCAGCGACGCCGCGUGAGCGAAGAAGUAUUUCGGUAUGUAAAGCUCUAUCAGCAGGGAAGAAACUGACGGUACCUGACUAAGAAGCACCGGCUAAAUACGUGCCAACAGCCGCGGUAAUCUGAGCGGGCUGGCAAGGC